UGGGGAAUAUUGGUCAAUGGAGGAAACUCUGAACCAGCAACGCCGCGUGAAUGAUGAAGGUCUUCGGAUUGUAAAGUUCUUUUCUAAGGGACGAAGAAAGUGACGGUACCUUAGGAAUAAGCCUCGGCUAACUACGUGCCAGCAGCCGCGGUAAUACGUAGGAGGCGAGCGUUAUCCGGAAUGACUGGGCGUAAAGGGUGCGUAGGUGGUUCGGCAAGUUAGUAGCGUAACCCCGGGGCUCAACCUCGGAACUACUACUAAAACUGUCGGACUUGAGUGCAGGAGGGGCAAUUGGAAUUCCUAGUGUAGCGGUGGAAUGCGUAGAUAUUAGGAGGAACACCGGUGGCGAAGGCGAAUUGCUGGACUGUAACUGACACUGAGGCACGAAAGCGUGGGGAGC
rnacentral:rRNA from 1 species